CACGUAGGGUCCGAGCGUUGUCCGGAAUUACUGGGCGUAAAGAGCUCGUAGGUGGUUUGUCGCGUUGUCCGUGAAAACUCACAGCUCAACUGUGGGCGUGCGGGCGAUACGGGCAGACUGGAGUACUGCAGGGGAGACUGGAAUUCCUGGUGUAGCGGUGGAAUGCGCAGAUAUCAGGAGGAACACCGGUGGCGAAGGCGGGUCUCUGGGCCGAAACUGACGCUGGAGGAGCGAAAGCGUGGGGAGCGAACAGG
rnacentral:rRNA from 1 species